GCGGGGGUGGAGUCAAUGGCAACUCGCUCGGAUAUGAAGUCCGAGAAAUGCAGGUUCGAAUCCUGCUCCCUGCA
rnacentral:tRNA from 1 species